rnacentral:rRNA from 1 species
CGACGCGGUGAACUACGUUCUCGGGCCUUGUACACACCGCCCGUCAAGCCAUGGAAGCUGGGGGUACCCGAAGUCGCCUUUAAAAAGCGCCUAAGGUAAAACCAGUGACUGGGGCU